rnacentral:pre_miRNA from 1 species
AAAAAGAUAAACCCUGGAUUUCCAUGUCUAACGUUUGACUGUUCAUCUUAUUUUAAAAAAUAUGAAAAAAAUUAAAAAGACAAGUCAUGCAUAAAGUAUUAAUCAUGUUUUAUCAUCUAACAAUAAUGAAAAUACUAAUAUAAAAAAAUUUAUAUAAGACGGACAGUCAAACGUUGGACACGGAAACCCAGGGUUUGUUUUUUU